AACGCACAUUGCGCCCCUUGGUAUUCCGAGGGGCAUGCCUGUUCGAGCGUCAUUUCAAACCUCAAGCUUCUGCUUGGUAUUGAGCUUUCCCCUUUCGUUAGGGGUGCUCGAAACUCGUGGGCGGUGAUGUCCAGCAUCGCAGCGUAUUCGUAACACAAUUUCGCUACCGAUUGCAGACAGCUCACCCGCCGAACGAACCUUUUUUCUCCUCGCGAGAAAAAAACUUCUUUCAAGGUUUGACCUCGGAUCAGGUAGGAAUACCCGCUGAACUUAA
rnacentral:misc_RNA from 1 species